rnacentral:sRNA from 1 species
AGUCCUGCCAACAGCUUUGAGUGAGCAUGGACGCAGAUCCUCUCCCAGUGGAGCAUUUGGAUGACCACGACUCUGGCUAACACCUUACUUACAGCCUUGGGAAAGAUUCUGAGUCAGAGGCAUCCAGCUAAAUUGACCCACAGACACGGUAAAACAGGGAUUUCUUCUUGGUUUGGAUCCACUGUUGAUUUUAGGUUACAAAAAGAUGGCAGAUUGCAUCUUGGGCACUCUCUUGUAUGCCUCUUUGGAGAAGCCAGUUUUCAUGUUGUGAGAGGCCUGGCAGACGGGCCCAAAUGAGUUCGCUGGGAAGUGGAUCACAGAAACCAUGAGGUCCAGAUUUAUGGCUGCAAAACAAUGAUUUAAACAGUAUUCAUUCUGGAACAUCACUCAAUUUCACUAGUACUAAGUACUUUAAAGCAAAUCCCAGACAACAUGCGAAUACUUCAGUAUGUAUCUCUACGGGAUAGAAAAGUCCCUCCACUGGCUACAGUGACUUUGCUCUCACCCGCUUUGGAGAAGAAGUGAGCUACUUUUCCUGUGUAUGAGUGACAGCAGCAUGUUUUCAUCACUAGUGUUGCCAUUUGGAAACUUAAGCAUGAAUGGAAGAGUGAGUGUGAGUGGUGAGAAAUCAAAUUGAUGAACUGAGUUGGAUAGUGUGUAUGGAUUCUCUUAUCUGCCCUCCUACCCUCAGUCUAGAUCACUGGAGAGGCCAAUAAUAAAACAUUUCUCUUGCAGUUCAAAUUCUGGAUGAGAAUUCGCUUCUGCAAAUUAGAAGCAAUUCAUCUAAGAUAAUGAACACAGAAGCAAAGCAGAAGCCAUUUUCCUACAUCCUUUCGACUGUUUUAACUGCAAACAAAGACAAAGAAAUGCAAGGUAUUAGCAGUGCUUUUUGUGGCACUUUCCAAUUUUCUGGGUGUCAAGAGGCAAUUGUGACUACAGCAUUAGCAGUGUAACUCUGGCUUCCUGAUUACUGGAUUGCAGCAAGAGGAGUAUAUUCAUAACUCACAGUUGCAGCAACCAUAUUAGCUAUAACUGGCUCUUGGGUGGAUCAUUACUGCACUCCCUAAAAUCAUUCCAGCAAGAACAGCCUAGAACUCAUAUCUUAGAUCUUCCAACUAUUUUAUAAGCAUCAAAUUCUCUUGUAUUAAAUAUCUUCCUGUUUUAAAUAAAUGUAAUUUUUGUUUCCUGAACUAAAUCCUGACUCACACUAUUUGAUGUAUCUGUGUGUCUGUGGAACUAAUACUAAAGUUUCAUGAAAAUCCCCUUUUUAUGUGUGAUACAUUAAUUUUUCUAUUUUACUUUCCUAUUUACAAUUCUCUUAAGUUUACAGUCACUCUUAAAUUUCCAUGCUAUUCUAUGUCUAUUCAUUAAAUAAAAUGCUAAUUGCAAUGUUUUAAAUCUACUUCAUGACCCACCAAUGGGUUACAAGCUUGAGUUAAAAGACACUGCUUACAGCAUGAUCUCAUUAAGAGAGUUGAAGUAUAUUGCAGAAUAUCACAACUGCGUUAUUUAUUUUUCUUUUAUUCCAUCCUGGUCUUCAUGAUAGACAAUCGAAGCUUUUCCAGCUAUCAUCUUAUUGGCCUCUACCUAAAUAGGAGACAGCAUUCAGGCAAGUCUCCACAUAGCUAAGAAAUGUUUUCAACAAAUAAGCAAAAAUGGAGAACAGAAAAUAAUAAUAAGAAAAUCGUAUGACUGACAUUAAGGUUUGGGGGAAACUGCUCUUGAUCUAAAAAGAACGCAAGGUUUUUUUAUAAAACCAUUUUCUGAAAGCUUUCAUUGACC